UGGGGAAUAUUGCACAAUGGAGGGAACUCUGAUGCAGCGACGCCGCGUGAACGAAGAAGGCUUUCGAGUCGUAAAGUUCCUUUAUAUGGGAAGAUAAUGACGGUACCAUAAGAAGAAGCCCCGGCUAACUACGUGCCAGCAGCCGCGGUAAUACGUAGGGGGCUAGCGUUGUCCGGAAUCACUGGGCGUAAAGGGUUCGCAGGCGGAAAUGCAAGUCAGGUGUAAAAGGCAGUAGCUUAACUACUGUAAGCAUUUGAAACUGCAUAUCUUGAGAAGAGUAGAGGUAAGUGGAAUUUUUAGUGUAGCGGUGAAAUGCGUAGAUAUUAAAAAGAAUACCGGUGGCGAAGGCGACUUACUGGGCUCAUUCUGACGCUGAGGAACGAAAGCGUGGGUAGCAAACAGG
rnacentral:rRNA from 2 species